CAGUCGCCGCGGUAAUACGAAGGGGGCUAGCGUUGCUCGGAAUUACUGGGCGUAAAGGGAGCGUAGGCGGGUCGUUUAGUCAGAGGUGAAAUCCCGGGGCUCAACCUCGGAACUGCCUUUGAUACUGGCGACCUUGAGUAUGGGAGAGGUGAGUGGAACUCCGAGUGUAGAGGUGAAAUUCGUAGAUAUUCGGAAGAACACCAGUGGCGAAAGCGACUCACUGGCCCAUUACUGACGCUGAGGCUCGAAAGCGUGGGGAGCAAACAGGAUUAGAUACCCCCGUAGUCCCUGUCUCUUAUAC
rnacentral:rRNA from 1 species